GCCUGUUUGAGUGUCAUU
rnacentral:rRNA from 1 species